CCUACGGGUGGCAGCAGUGAGGAAUAUUGGUCAAUGGCCGGAAGGCUGAACCAGCCAUGCCGCGUGAAGGUCAGUGCUCUUUGGGCGUUAAACUUCUUUUGUGCGGGAGCAAUAAUGGUCACGUGUGGCCAGACGAGAGUACCGUAAGUAUGAGCAUCGGCUCACUCCGUGCCAGCGGCCGCGGUAAUACGGUGGAUGCAAGCGUUAUCCGGAUUUAUUGGGUGUAAAGGGUACGUAGGCUGUGAGGUAAGUCAGCGGUGAAAUGCCCCGGGUCAACGGGGUGAAGUGCCAUUGAUACUGCCUUGCUGGAAUGCGGAUGCGGUGAGAGGAAUGUGUGGUGUAGCGGUGAAAUGCAUAGAUAUCA
rnacentral:rRNA from 1 species